UGUGACUGGUCUAGGCCACAUUGAGCC
rnacentral:piRNA from 1 species